rnacentral:rRNA from 1 species
GAUGAACGCUGGCGGCGUGCCUAAUACAUGCAAGUCGAGCGAAUGGAUUAAGAGCUUGCUCUUAUGAAGUUAGCGGCGGACGGGUGAGUAACACGUGGGUAACCUGCCCAUAAGACUGGGAUAACUCCGGGAAACCGGGGCUAAUACCGGAUAACAUUUUGAACCGCAUGGUUCGAAAUUGAAAGGCGGCUUCGGCUGUCACUUAUGGAUGGACCCGCGUCGCAUUAGCUAGUUGGUGAGGUAACGGCUCACCAAGGCAACGAUGCGUAGCCGACCUGGGAGGGUGAUCGGCCACACGAGGACUGAGACACGGCCCAGACUCCUACUGGAGGCAGCAGUAGGGAAUCUUCCGCAAUGGACGAAAGUCUGACGGAGCAACGCCGCGUGAGUGAUGAAGGCUUUCGGGUCGUAAAACUCUGUUGUUAGGGAAGAACAAGUGCUAGUUGAAUAAGCUGGCACCUUGACGGUACCUAACCAGAAAGCCACGGCUAACUACGUGCCAGCCGCCGCGGUAA